rnacentral:rRNA from 1 species
AUUGAACGCUGGCGGCAGGCCUAACACAUGCAAGUCGAGCGAGCGGCGGACGGGUGAGUAAUGUCUGGGAAACUGCCUGAUGGAGGGGGAUAACUACUGGAAACGGUAGCUAAUACCGCAUACCAUCAGAUGUGCCCAGAUGGGAUGAGAUAGUAGGUGGGGUAACGGCUCACCUAGGCGACGAUCCCUAGCUGGUCGGAGAGGAGGACCAGCCCAACUGGAACUAGGACAGGGUCCGGACGCCUACGGGAGGCAGCAUGGGGGAAUAUUGCACAAUGGGGGCAAGCCUGAUGAAGCCAUGCCGCGUGUGUGAAGAAGGCCUUCGGGUUGUAAAGCACUUUCAGCGGGGAGGCGUUACCCGCAGAAGAAGCACCGGCUAACUCCGUGCCAGCAGCCGCGGUAAUUC